rnacentral:rRNA from 1 species
UACGGAGGAUGCAAGCGUUAUCCGGAAUGAUUGGGCGUAAAGCGUCCGCAGGUGGCUGUGUAAGUCUGCUGUUAAAGAGUGAGGCUCAACCUCAUAAAAGCGGUGGAAACUACACGGCUAGAGUGCGUUCGGGGCAGAGGGAAUUCCUGGUGUAGCGGUGAAAUGCGUAGAUAUCAGGAAGAACACCGGUGGCGAAAGCGCUCUGCUAGGCCGCAACUGACACUGAGGGACGAAAGCUAGGGGAGCGAAUGGG